CGUGAGCAACCUGCCUUUUCAGAGGGGGAGUAACAGUUGGAAACGACUGCUAAUACCGCAUAACGCUGCGAUGGGGCAUCCCGAUGCAGCCAAAGGAGCAAUCCGCUGAAAGAUGGGCUCGCGGCCGAUUAGCUAGUUGGUGGGGCAACGGCCCACCAAGGCGACGAUCGGUAGCCGGACUGAGAGGUUGAUCGGCCACAUUGGGACUGAGACACGGCCCAGACUCCUACGGAAGGCAGCAG
rnacentral:rRNA from 1 species